rnacentral:rRNA from 1 species
UACAGAGGGGGCUAGCGUUGCUCGGAAUCACUGGGCGUAAAGCGCACGUAGGCGGAUUGCUAAGUCAGGGGUGAAAUCCUGGAGCUCAACUCCAGAACUGCCUUUGAUACUGGCGACCUUGAGUCCGGGAGAGGUGAGUGGAACUGCGAGUGUAGAGGUGAAAUUCGUAGAUAUUCGCAAGAACACCAGUGGCGAAGGCGGCUCACUGGCCCGGUACUGACGCUGAGGUGCGAAAGCGUGGGGAGCGAGCCGG